AGGACGAACGCUGGCGGCGUGCUUAACACAUGCAAGUCGAACGGAACUUCAAGGAGCUUGCUCCUGAAGGUUCAGUGGCGAACGGGUGCGUAACACGUGAGAAACCUGUCCCGAACUUGGGAAUAACAGCCGGAAACGGCUGCUAAUACCGAAUAUCUUCGUAACGUCGCAUGGCGAUUCGAAGAAAGCUUUAUGCGGUUUGGGAGGGUCUCGCGGCCUAUCAGCUAGUUGGUGAGGUAAUGGCUCACCAAGGCAUCGACGGGUAGCUGGUCUGAGAGGAUGAUCAGCCACACUGGGACUGAGACACGGCCCAGACUCCUACGGGAGGCAGCAGUGGGGAAUAUUGCACAAUGGGCGAAAGCCUGAUGCAGCAACGCCGCGUGCGGAAGAAGGCCUUAGGUGUAAACCGCUUUCAGUAGGAAGAAAGUGAACGGUACCUACGAGAAGAAGGUGCGGCAACUACGUGCCAGCAGCCGAC
rnacentral:rRNA from 1 species